UACGAAGGGGGCUAGCGUUGUUCGGAUUUACUGGGCGUAAAGCGUGCGCAGGCGGCUUCUCAAGUCAGGGGUGAAAGCCCAGAGCUCAACUCUGGAAUUGCCUUUGAGACUGAGUGGCUUGAGUACGGGAGAGGUGAGUGGAAUUCCCAGUGUAGAGGUGAAAUUCGUAGAUAUUGGGAAGAACACCGGUGGCGAAGGCGGCUCACUGGCCCGUAACUGACGCUCAUGCACGACAGCGUGGGGAUCAAACAGG
rnacentral:rRNA from 1 species